AAAUUGAAGAGUUUGAUCAUGGCUCAGAUUGAACGCUGGCGGCAGGCCUAACACAUGCAAGUCGAACGGUAACAGGAAGCAGCUUGCUGCUUUGCUGACGAGUGGCGGACGGGUGAGUAAUGUCUGGGAAACUGCCUGAUGGAGGGGGAUAACUACUGGAAACGGUGGCUAAUACCGCAUAACGUCGCAAGACCAAAGAGGGGGACCUUCGGGCCUCUUGCCAUCAGAUGUGCCCAGAUGGGAUUAGCUUGUUGGUGAGGUAACGGCUCACCAAGGCGACGAUCCCUAGCUGGUCUGAGAGGAUGACCAGCCACACUGGAACUGAGACACGGUCCAGACUCCUACGGGAGGCAGCAGUGGGGAAUAUUGCACAAUGGGCGCAAGCCUGAUGCAGCCAUGCCGCGUGUAUGAAGAAGGCCUUCGGGUUGUAAAGUACUUUCA
rnacentral:rRNA from 1 species